CCUACGGGGGGCUGCAGUGGGGAAUAUUGCGCAAUGGGGGAAACCCUGACGCAGCAACGCCGCGUGAAGGAUGAAGGUUUUCGGAUUGUAAACUUCAGCAAGCAGGGACGAUAAUGACGGUACCUGAACAAAAGCCACGGCUAACUACGUGCCAGCAGCCGCGGUAAUACGUAGGUGGCUAGCGUUGUCCGGAAUUACUGGGUGUAAAGGGCGCGUAGGCGGGUGCCUAAGUCAGACGUGAAAUGCCGAGGCUCAACCUCGGAACUGCGUUUGAAACUGGGCAUCUUGAGUGUCGGAGAGGGAAGCGGAAUGCCUAGUGUAGCGGUGAAAUGCGUAGAUAUUAGGAGGAACACCAGUGGCGAAGGCGGCUUUCUGGACGAUAACUGACGCUGAGGCGCGAAAGCGUGGGGAGCAAACAGGAUUAGAUACCCGUGUAGUC
rnacentral:rRNA from 1 species